rnacentral:lncRNA from 1 species
GAAGGUUUGUUUUUAGUUUUAACAUUUGAUGAAGGGGUCAUAGCAGAACAUUGUUUCAUGAAUGGGGUGUAGGAGAUCAUCUCUUUGAUUAGGCAAAACUAGUUACUUCCAUUGAUUAUGUAUAAUCAUGUCUAUUAGGAUACAUAUUAUCAUUCUCACCUUUAGGUCUACAUGGUAACACUAUCUUGUAUUGAUGUUAAAAUUAGGAUACAUAUUAUCAUUCUCACCUUUAGGUCUACAUGGUAACACUAUCUUGUAUUGAUGUUAAACCUUGUUUACUUGAGCACAUAUGACAAUUU